rnacentral:rRNA from 1 species
CUUUCUUUGCUGGCGACCGGCGCACGGGUGAGUAACACGUAUCCAACCUGCCCUUUACUCGGGGAUAGCCUUUCGAAAGAAAGAUUAAUACCCGAUAGCAUAAUGAUUCCGCAUGGUUUCAUUAUUAAAGGAUUCCGGUAAAGGAUGGGGAUGCGUUCCAUUAGGUUGUUGGUGGGGUAACGGCCCACCAAGCCUUCGAUGGAUAGGGGUUCUGAGAGGAAGGUCCCCCACAUUGGAACUGAGACACGGUCCAA